GCCUGGGUGGCUCAGUUGGUUGAGCGUCCGACUUCGGCUCAGGUCAUGAUCUCACGGUCCGUGAGUUCGAGCCCCGCGUCAGGCU
rnacentral:tRNA from 1 species